rnacentral:rRNA from 1 species
UCCGGUUGAUCCUGCCRGACCUGACUGCUAUCGGAUUGAUACUAAGCCAUGCGAGUCAUUGUAGCAAUACAAGGCAGACGGCUCAGUAACGCGUAGUCAAUCUACCCUAUGGACGGGAAUAACCUCGGGAAACUGAGAAUAAUUCCCGAUAGAACAUUAUGCCUGGAAUGGUUUAUGUUUCAAAUGAUUUAUCGCCAUAGGAUGGGACUGCGGCCUAUCAGUUUGUUGGUGAGGUAAUGGCCCACCAAGACUAUUACAGGUACGGGCUCUGAGAGGAGUAGCCCGGAGAUGGGUACUGAGACACGGACCCAGGCCCUAUGGGGCGCAGCAGGCGAGAAAACUUUGCAAUGUGCGAAAGCACGACAAGGUUAAUCCGAGUGGUUUCUGCUAAAGAAACCUUUUGUCAGUCCUAGAAACACUAACGAAUAAGGGGUGGGCAAGUUCUGGUGUCAGCCGCCGCGGUAAAACCAGCACCUCAAGUGGUCAGGAUGAUUAUUGGGCCUAAAGCAUCCGUAGCCCGUUUUGUAAGUUUUCGGUUAAAUCCAUGCGCUUAACGUAUGGGCUGCCGGGAAUACUGCAUAACUAGGAAGUGGGAGAGGUAGACGGUACUCGGUAGGAAGGGGUAAAAUCCUUUGAUCUAUUGAUGACCACCUGUGGCGAAGGCGGUCUACCAGAACACGUUCGACGGUGAGGGAUGAAAGCUGGGGGAGCAAACCGGAUUAGAUACCCGGGUAGUCCCAGCUGUAAACUAUGCAAACUCAGUGAUGCAUUGGCUUGUGGCCAAUGCAGUGCUGCAGGGAAGCCGUUAAGUUUGCCGCCUGGGAAGUACGUACGCAAGUAUGAAACUUAAAGGAAUUGGCGGGGGAGCACCACAAGGGGUGAAGCCUGCGGUUCAAUUGGAKUCAACGCCGGRA